AGAUACCUAGAGACACUCAACGUGUCAAUAAUCCAUUGGUUUCGUUAUGUUUUGGUUUUUUUUUUCCCCUUUUUCUUCACUUGCUCUUCUCUCUCUCGAUAGUCGACGAUACAAACAAGGAACAAACAUAGAUUUCUGCUUUGUGAAUCGAUUUAUCAAAAUCAAUUCCUAGAUUUCGUAUAAUCAAAAUCGACGAGAACAAACCAAUCGACGUUCUGAUCAGAAAUUGCAGCCUAAGGUACUGUAGGCGACAAUGUUGUGAUUUUCUCUAGAUCAGGGAAGGCAAGGAUGGAAGCUCGCAUCUCAGGGAACAAGAGAACCCAUGGUGCCUCCAUAUAACGUAUUGAUCACUGGCUCAACGAAAGGUAUAGGAUAUGCAUUAGCUAGAGAGUUUUUGAAAGCAGGCGACAAUGUUGGGAUUUGCUCUAGAUCAGGUUUGCUGCAUAUGGCGCAACUAAACGAAGUGUUGUUCACUUGACAAAGUCAUUACAGGCAGAGUUGCAGACAAAUAGGCAGAUGCAAGAUGUUAAAAAUGUGGUGGUGCACAAUCUCUACGACCAUGUGGGUGUAGCCGAGCUGGUAAGCUACAAGACCGGACGUGGUAAGAAGUAGCCAUUGAUGACGUGGUAAGAAGUAGCCGGAUGAUGGAAGUAGCCAUUGAGAAGUAGACCGGACGAGAAACCAACACAAUCACCCCCAUGUAUAAGAAAUAUGGUGAAGAGAGCUUUGCAAACUGCAGGAUUUGGCAUCGGAGAGAGCUUUUGCUGAUUUGUUAUCUGCAACUCAGUUCUCCACUUAGUGAUCAUCAACUUCCUAAGGUGUUUCACUCUCCUAUCUACAACUAGCUUUUGUGUGUUCAGUACUGGAGCUUUUAGGUGUCACUUGGAAUCAAAACUCUAGUUUGAGAUUUUUUUGUUUCUUGUUGUCAAAGAAUCAAAAAUGUAAUAUAUUUGUGUUCCUUUAUUCUUAA